rnacentral:tRNA from 1 species
UCCCUGGUGGCUCAGAUGGUGAAGCAUCUGCCUACAAUGCAGGAGACCCGGGUUUGAUCCCUGGGUCGGGAA